AAUGUAGCUUAAUGGUAAAGCACUUGAUUUGUAUUCAUAAGGCCCUGGGGUUUAAUCCCCAGCAUU
rnacentral:tRNA from 1 species